UACUGGGACCCUUCUAACCAGUGAAUUAUUCUCCACCCAGUGAUUCUUCCCGACUGAGGCCAAGAGAUUUCUGGAGCCUCUUGUCAUGGGUCAGCAACAUCCCAUGAGUGACCCCGAAGUGGGGGUUUCUAAGUCCCUCAGGCAAAGACAAAGCAGAUGAGCCUCGCUCUGGGGAGAAGCACAAGAGUGUGCCCACCAUGGCUGUGCCCAGAUGCUGAGGGCUGGCCAGACUGGGGCCAGCUGGAAUUCUAGACUUUGUACUUGGUGUGAGUCAUACCAAAACUGUCCAGGUGAAGAGCUCCCCCUGAAGACAGCCGGUCUACCUGUGGGCCAAGUGGCCCAUUCCUGUUGCCUUGCAAAUGACCACAGCCUGUCAGGGCAAGUGAGGGUCACAGACUGGAGCCAAAGGAAGUCAGGCGCCUCAUAGGAGGAUAAGCAAGUGAACCCAGUCAAGAAGGUCACUCUGUGGAGCUGGCAAGGUUCCCUGAUGGUGACCAGUGGCCAUGGCGGAGUGUGGAGGUGAAGUUACAGAUUUUCCUUAGCAGAGCUG